AAGAGAAGUGCUGUGGCCCUGCCACCGGCUCCUUCCCCAUGCCCUGAAGUGAGUGAGCAGAAGACUGGGACACGCAUGUAGCUUGAGCUUGAGCCCCGCACAGGAGGACAGACGUGACCUGGAGCCUGGUGUCGCGGGAUUCUCCGCCGGGCACAGGACUGGGGACACUGGGCUGCACAAGUCCAGGCGCCCUGCUCGCUGUGGACCCGGGGAAUGGCGUCUGAGGAGGUGGCUGCUCCUCUGUGGCACCUAGAGCCCCUCCGCGGGGCCGUUCUCCUGUCUCCCUGUGCCGUCGAGGAGGUGCAUCCAGAGGGAUGAGUGACCUGGUCAGGAGAUCAGGAGUCACCGGUGGGAGCUGGGUCCUGAGAGUGAGGGUCAGAGUCCUCGGAGGUCAGAGGCCCCGGGGCUGCUUCCCCGCUUCCCCUGCUGCUCCGCCUCUUCCUGAGGGUCCUGCCGGCUGCGCUGACUCAGACGCGAAACCUCACCCCUUCCGGCUCCAUUUCCGCAAACCUCCCCGGGAGGUCUCGGGGUGACAUUCGGUCCACAGAAGACACUUUCCCGUGGCGUCUUACCAUAGGUGGCACUGGAACCUCCGGCCAUCUUCCUUCUUCCUCUUCCCGGCAGAGG